AUGCUCUGGUCUCCCUUCAAAUCCGCGUACUGAUCUUUCGCCUUUUACUAAAGAUCACCGUGGAGGGGGACAGUACAAUUAGCUUCUAGACAAUUUUUGAUAGGCCUAACCCGUUUGGGUAA